rnacentral:rRNA from 1 species
UGAAUACGAGACGCUAAGGCGUCGAAGUAGUGUAUGUCAUACUUCCAAGAAAAGCUUGCACUGUCAUAGAUAAAAAACGCCUGUACCAUAACCGACACAGGUGGGUAGGUAGAGUAUACUAAGGGGCGCGAGAUAACUCUCUCUAAGGAACUCGGCAAAAUAACUCCGUAACUUCGGGAGAAGGAGUGCCUUAUUCGUAAGGUUGCAAUAACAAGAUCCAAGCAACUGUUUAUCAAAAACACAGGUCUCCGCUAAGUCGUAAGACGAUGUAUGGGGGCUGACGCCUGCCCAGUGCCAGAAGGUUAAAGAAGUUGGUUAGCAAUUGCGAAGCUGAUAACUGAAGCCCUGGUGAACGGCGGCCGUAACUAUAACGGUCCUAAGGUAGCGAAAUUCCUUGUCGGGUAAGUUCCGACCCGCACGAAAGGCGUAAUGAUUUGGAUACUGUCUCGGAGAGGGGCUCGGUGAAAUAGACUUGUCUGUGAAGAUGCGGUCUACCUGCACCAGGACAGAAAGACCCUAUGAAGCUUUACUGUAACUUGAAAUUGAAAUUGGACUUUAUUCGCGCAGUAUAGGUGGGAGGCGUUGAUUAUAAUCUUGUGGGAUUAUUGGAGCCAUCAGUGAGAUACCACUCUUGUAAUGUUAGAUUUCUAACUUUGAAUCAUUAUCUGGUCAAAGAACAGUUUCAGGCGGGCAGUUUGACUGGGGCGGUCGCCUCCUAAACGGUAACGGAGGCGUACAAAGGUUUCCUCUGAACGGUUAGAAAUCGUAUCUAGAGUGUAAAGGCAUAAGGAAGCUUGACUGUGAGACCUACAAGUCGAGCAGGGACGAAAGUCGGUCUUAGUGAUCUGACGGUACUGAGUGGAAAGGCCGUCACUCAACGGAUAAAAGUUACUCUAGGAUAACAGGCUGAUCUCCCCCAAGAGUUCACAUCGACGGGGAGGUUUGGCACCUCGAUGUCGGCUCAUCGCAUCCUGGGGCGGUAGUACGUCCCAAGGGUUGGGCUGUUCGCCCAUGAAAGCGGUACGCGAGCUGGGUUCAGAACGUCGUGAGACAGUUCGGUCCAUAUCCGGUGUAGGCGUUAGAAUAUUGAGAGGAGCCUUCUUUAGUACGAGAGGACCGAGAAGGACAUACCUCUGGUGUACCAGUUAUCGUGCCAACGGUAAACGCUGGGUAGCUAUGUAUGGAGUGGAUAACCGCUGAAAGCAUCUAAGUGGGAAGCCCCCCUCAAGAUAAGUAUUCUCAUCA